rnacentral:lncRNA from 1 species
GGUUCUGAGGCGCUUCUGGGUGCUCAGGAAUGGCACGCUUGCUUUCUAUGGACCUGGAUUUGUGGUGUUUAUCUGUCCCACAUGGAGGAAACUCAGAGCCAGACCACCCCAUUUUAAUGUGGUGCCUUUCAGAUCAAGAGGUACGCAACCAAUGGUCCUGUAAAAUUCUUCAGCCAUUGGAGAAGACAUACAAAUGGAGUCGAACCUGCCAAGCCCAGCAUAUUUUUAAAAGUAAUCUUGUUCUUAUUAAAUUCAUAUUGACUCUUGAGGGGAGGGGGGAAAUCACAUUUUUUAUGAUUCAUCACUUCCUCAAGAUAAUAAAACAUGAUCCGAAGAUAUAAAAAA